GCGGAGGAAAAGAAACUAACAAGGAUUCCCCUAGUAACGGCGAGUGAAGCGGGAAGAGCUCAAAUUUGAAAGCUGGCACCUUCGGUGUCCGCGUUGUAAUCUCGAGAAGUGUUUUCCGUGCUGGACCAUGUACAAGUUCCUUGGAAUAGGACGUCAUAGAGGGUGAAAAUCCCGUACUUGACAUGGACGCCCAGUGCUUUGUGAUACACUCUCCACGAGUCGAGUUGUUUGGGAAUGCAGCUCAAAAUGGGUGGUAAAUUCCAUCUAAAGCUAAAUAUUGGGGAGAGACCGAUAGCGAACAAGUACCGUGAGGGAAAGAUGAAAAGCACUUUGGAAAGAGAGUUAAACAGUACGUGAAAUUGUCGAAAGGGAAGCGCUUGAAGUUAGACAUGCUUGCCGGGAUUCAGCCUUGCUUCUGCUUGGUGCAUUUCCCGGUGUGCAGGCCAGCAUCAGUUUUGUUUGCCGGAUAAGGGUGAGAGGAAUGUGGCCCCUCUGGGGUGUUAUAGCCUCUCACUGGAUACGGCGGAUGGGACUGAGGACCGCAGUGUGCCUUUAUGGCGGGCCUUCGGGCACCUUCACACUUAGGAUGCUGGCGUAAUGGCUUUAAGCGACCCGUCUUGAAACACGGACCGAGGAGUCUAACAUGUCUGCGAGUCUUUGGGUGGCAAACCCAUAGGCGCAAUGAAAGUGAAUGCAGGUGGGAUCCGCAAGGAGCACCAUCGACCGAACCGGAUCUUCUGUGAUGGUUUUGAGUAAGAGCAUAUAUGUUGGGACCCGAAAGAUGGUGAACUAUGCCUGAAUAGGGCGAAGCCAGAGGAAACUCUGGUGGAGGCUCGUAGCGGUUCUGACGUGCAAAUCGAUCGUCAAAUUUGGGUAUAGGGGCGAAAGACUAAUCGAACCAUCUAGUAGCUGGUUCCUGCCGAAGUUUCCC
rnacentral:rRNA from 1 species